rnacentral:rRNA from 1 species
GACGAACGCUGGCGGCGUGCUUAACACAUGCAAGUCGAACGAUGAAGCUGGAGCUUGCUCCGGUGGAUUAGUGGCGAACGGGUGAGUAACACGUGAGCAAUCUGCCCUUGACUCUGGGAUAACUGCGGGAAACUGUAGCUAAUACCGGAUACGAGGCUCGAAGGCAUCUUCGGGUCUGGAAAGAAUUUCGGUCAAGGAUGAGCUCGCGGCCUAUCAGCUUGUUGGUGAGGUAAUGGCUCACCAAGGCGACGACGGGUAGCCGGCCUGAGAGGGUGACCGGCCAACGGGGGACUGAGACACGGCCCAGACUCCUGCGGGAGGCAGCAGUGGGGAAGAUUGCACAAUGGGCGAAAGCCUGAUGCAGCAACGCCGCGUGAGGGAUGAAGGCCUUCGGGUUGUAAACCUCUUUUAGCAGGGAAGAAGCGAAAGUGACGGUACCUGCAGAAAAAGCACCGGCUAACUACGUGCCAGCCGCCGCCGUAA